rnacentral:rRNA from 1 species
UAGGGAAUCUUCGGCAAUGGGGGGAACCCUGACCGAGCAACGCCGCGUGAGUGAAGAAGGUUUUCGGAUCGUAAAGCUCUGUUGUUAAGGAAGAACGAGUGUGAGAAUGGAAAGUUCAUACUGUGACGGUACUUAACCAGAAAGGGACGGCUAACUACGUGCCAGCAGCCGCGGUAAUACGUAGGUCCCGAGCGUUGUCCGGAUUUAUUGGGCGUAAAGCGAGCGCAGGCGGUUAGAUAAGUCUGAAGUUAAAGGCAGUGGCUCAACCAUUGUAGGCUUUGGAAACUGUUUAACUUGAGUGCAGAAGGGGAGAGUGGAAUUCCAUGUGUAGCGGUGAAAUGCGUAGAUAUAGGGAGGAACACCGGUGGCGAAAGCGGCUCUCUGGUCUGUAACUGACGCUGAGGCUCGAAAGCGUGGGGAGCGAACAGG